rnacentral:rRNA from 1 species
GACGAACCGUGCGAACGUUAUUCGGAAUCACUGGGCUUAAAGCGCGUGUAGGCGGCCCGGCACGUCCGUCGCUGAAAUCCCCCGGCUCAACCGGGGAAGUGGCGUGGAUACGACCGGGCUGGAGGGGGGUAGGGGGAGCCGGAACUUCCGGUGGAGCGGUGAAAUGCGUAGAUAUCGGAAGGAACGCCGGUGGCGAAAGCGACGUGCUGGACCUCUUCUGACGCUGAGGCGCGAAAGCUAGGGGAGCAAACGGG